rnacentral:misc_RNA from 1 species
AGUUGAGUUGAGUUGAGUAUAUUUCUAUUGUUAAAUUGAGCUAUUUUUGUUCCUGACGUAGGUGCCUUUCUUUUUUUUUUUUUAUUCGUCUGGCAGAGGAACUAAGAUGACAAGUAUAGUUAAAUUCAAACCUGCACUACGGGUUAAACAAAUGCAGGGGACACAGUUGCACACAGCCUGCCUGGGUUUCUGGUGUGGUAUUCAGCGGAGGCUUGCAGAAAGAACUUUCA